AGGUCAUUUCAAAGAGGGCUUGUGGAACUGAGACCAAGAGCUCUUAACGCUGUGACCAAAGAUUAAGAUUCUCCACGGAAUGCCAUCGUCACCCCAUAAUGCUACGUUUUCUCCAACAGUGGAGAUACAAGA